UGCACCACUCCUACGGGAGGCAGCAGUUCGGAAUAUUCGGCAAUGGACGAAAGUCUGACCGAGCGACGCCGCGUGCGGGAUGAAGGCCCUCUGGGUUGUAAACCGCUUUAGGAAGUGAGCAAACUACUCGGUGCGAACAUCAUCGGGUAUUGAGUUAAGCUUCUAAAUAAGCCCCCGCUAAUCACGUGCCAGCAGCGGCGGUAAUACGUGAGGGGCAAACGUUGUUCGGUGUCACUGGGCUUAAAGGGUGCGUAGGUGGUUACGUAAGUAACGUGUGAAAUCCCCCGGCUUACCCGGGGAAUUGCGCGUUAUACUGCGUGACUUGAGGACUGUAGGGGAAUGGGGAACUCCAA
rnacentral:rRNA from 1 species